rnacentral:lncRNA from 10 species
CCGCGGGACCUAGUCUCCGGCGGGAGUGGGGCGGCGCAUGGGAGGGGAGCGGGUGCCCUGAGGAGUUAAUUUCCGAGAGGGGCGUUCCCAGCACUGCCCCUCUGGACCCGGUCCCCGCGGACUUGCAGGCCCAGCCUAUGUCCAGGUCGAGCCAAAUCUGUGCCAGGGUCCCCUUCCCCCUUUCCCUUCUUUUGUUUUACAAAGCAAACUUGUACCAGCUUUAGACAGACUGGCCGAGCCUUAGAGCCAGCGUCGGAUAAUGGCACCGACGGGGAAACUGCUCCUUUAUUCGGGUCCCCACCUCCCCUGCAGCACUACGGGACCCUCUCGGGGAUCAGAGGCUGGCCUGGCAGCUGAGGAGGUCGCCGUGCCCGCGCGGCAGGGGUGCCAGGCGUCCGAGGUGGUGCUCUAAAGUCCGAGGGUCCUUCAGAUCUUGUCAAGCACCCUCGAAAUCAUCUGAAAUGAGGGCACCCAACUCCGGGUGCAGAGACAGGCCUCCUUAAUGUUUAUUGCAACCAGCCAUGGGUACUUUGAAGCCAAUGUGUGAAGCACAUUACUUCGCAAAAGUGAAGCUCUUGGAAUAAAGGCUUGACACAAACAGCCGUGGAGGUGCUUUUAGAGAGGCUAAGUGUCCCACUGCCCCUGUAGCUCCCGCAGGAGAAAUGCCAGGGAAACUCGCGGAAGCUUUGGCCAAAAGAAACUGAGCUUUUUUGGGCUGCAGGAACUUGAGCUAUAUUCCUUUGGCAAGUCCACCCCAUCCCCACUGUUCCUUCUCCUGCAGUAAAAAUGUCCUCUAGGUCCAUGUUACAGCCAGACCCCUCCUCUCUUCACGAGAUUCACUAGGACCUUCAGGCCUGGUUCAACAACCCUGAUCUCUCGGCUCUGUCAAAAAUCACAAUCCUGAACAAUGUGAUGCUGUGGCCGGGAGAAGUGACCAGGAUACCAAGGUAUACUUGCUAGUAUGAGAGGCCAACUUUGAAUCCAAGGCAGAGCCGUGUUUUACCCCUCUUGUCCAGCAACGCUUCAAAACCUGAGACAAAUGGUGAUGUCAGGACCUAAAAUUCUAUUUCAUAAUGUCUUGGAAAUUUGUUAGGCUCUUUCAGAGAAUUGAGGUCAUUG